UACGGAGGAUGCGAGCGUUGUCCGGAUUUAUUGGGUUUAAAGGGAGCGCAGACGGGAGAUUAAGUCAGUUGUGAAAGUUUGCGGCUCAACCGUAAAAUUGCAGUUGAUACUGGUUUCCUUGAGUGCAGUUGAGGCAGGCGGAAUUCGUGGUGUAGCGGUGAAAUGCUUAGAUAUCACGAAGAACCCCGAUUGCGAAGGCAGCUUGCUAAACUGUAACUGACGUUCAUGCUCGAAAGUGUGGGUAUCAAACAGG
rnacentral:rRNA from 1 species